CUGACAUAAAAGGAUCAUUUAUCUGCCCCGUUUCGGUUUAUAGUUUUAGGGUUAGGUUUAAUCAGGGGCCGUUGAAGGAGGAGGAAGAGGAUCUAAUGGCGGCGGCACAAGGGAUGGACCCGGCGGUUCUAGACGAUAUAAUCAGACGGCUGACGGAAGUCCGGUCAGCCAGGCCAGGGAAACAAGUGCAAUUAUCUGAAUCCGAGAUCAAGCAGCUUUGUGUUGCUUCAAAAGAUAUCUUCUCUCAACAACCCAAUUUGCUUGAACUCGAAGCACCCAUCAAAAUUUGUGGUGACAUACAUGGGCAAUAUAGUGAUUUAUUAAGGCUGUUUGAGUAUGGGGGUUUUCCACCUCAUGCCAAUUACCUAUUUCUAGGUGACUAUGUGGAUCGUGGCAAGCAGAGUCUGGAAACGAUAUGUCUUUUACUUGCUUAUAAGAUAAAGUAUCCGGAGAACUUUUUUCUAUUGCGAGGAAACCAUGAAUGUGCAUCUAUUAAUCGGAUAUAUGGAUUUUAUGAUGAAUGCAAGCGACGGUUUAAUGUGAGAAUUUGGAAAAGCUUUACUGAUUGUUUUAACUGCCUGCCUGUGGCUGCUCUUAUAGACGAUAAAAUAUUGUGUAUGCAUGGUGGUCUUUCCCCUGACUUGACACACCUUGAUCAAAUUAGAAACUUAUCUCGUCCAACUGCAAUUCCUGACACCGGUUUGCUGUGUGAUUUGCUUUGGUCUGACCCUGAUAGAGAGGUGAAAGGAUGGGGAAUGAAUGACAGAGGAGUUUCAUACACCUUUGGUGCAGACAAGGUGUCUGAAUUCUUGGCAAAGCAUGAUUUAGAUCUUGUCUGCCGUGCACAUCAGGUUGUGGAGGAUGGUUACGAAUUCUUUGCUGAUAGGCAACUUGUUACAAUAUUUUCAGCACCUAACUAUUGUGGUGAAUUUGAUAAUGCUGGUGCAAUGAUGAGUGUCGAUGACAACCUGAUGUGUUCUUUCCAGAUUCUAAAGCCAGCAGAGAAAAAAGCAAAGUUCAUGGCCACUAAAAUGUAAUGGUUGCAGCUAUCAACAUAUAAUGGCGUGCAAGUCUCCAUGAAGAUUCAGGCCAUAGGAUUCUCCCUGGAUCACAUCAAAGUAGGAAAAAGACAAAAAGGGCUUCUAAUGGAGAAGAAUGGAAGUGAUUUUCUUUCUAUGGUAUAACUUAGUGAUCAGCCCCCUUGUCCUCAGUAUCCACUUACCCGAUUGCCUGCUUUCUUCUCCUUCAAUGUCCUCUUCUGUCCGUUGUGAGAAUAUUGAUGAUUGUUAUCCUUAUCAGUCUCCAAAAAUGGUUGAAACUGAAGAUUGCAGGAUCCAAACUUUUGCUGGAGGUGACGUAAGUGACACCUUUGUGGAUACCAUUUUGUAGGGUAAAAAAGUUUACUAGUCUGCUUUCGUGUAGCAUAAGCUGCUACUUUCCACCUCCAUGUUUUGUCUUUUUCUUUAUAGCAGUUACUCUGCGGUGAAUGUAUAGAUAUAUCUAGUCUGGCAGCACAUAGGUGUGGUCGGAGUUGUUGGAACA